rnacentral:rRNA from 1 species
CGCUGGCGGCAUGCCUUACACAUGCAAGUCGAACGGCAGCACGGAGCUUGCUCUGGUGGCGAGUGGCGAACGGGUGAGUAAUAUAUCGGAACGUACCCAGGAGUGGGGGAUAACGUAGCGAAAGUUACGCUAAUACCGCAUACGACCCAAGGGUGAAAGUGGGGGAUCGCAAGACCUCAUGCUCAUGGAGCGGCCGAUAUCUGAUUAGCUAGUUGGUGGGGUAAAGGCCUACCAAGGCAACGAUCAGUAGCUGGUCUGAGAGGACGACCAGCCACACUGGAACUGAGACACGGUCCAGACUCCUACGGGAGGCAGCAGUGGGGAAUCUUGGACAAUGGGGGCAACCCUGAUCCAGCAAUGCCGCGUGAGUGAAGAAGGCCUUCGGGUUGUAAAGCUCUUUUGUCAGGGAAGAAAAGGUCGCAGCUAAUAUCUGUGGCUCAUGACGGUACCUGAAGAAUAAGCACCGGCU